GUGCUCGCUUCGGCAGCACAUAUACUAAAAUUGGAACGAUACAGAGAUUAGCAUGGCCCCUGCACAAGGAUGACACGCAAAUUCAUAAAGCGUUCCAUAUUAAA
ensembl:snRNA U6 U6 spliceosomal RNA